rnacentral:tRNA from 1 species
GGGCCCUUAGCUCAGGUGGUAGAGCAUCUGACUUUUAAUCAGGGGGUCGAAGGUUCGAACCCUUCAGGGCCCA